rnacentral:rRNA from 1 species
UUCCAGACUCCUACGGGAGGCAGCAGUGGGGAAUAUUGCACAAUGGGGGAAACCCUGAUGCAGCGACGCCGCGUGAGCGAUGAAGUAUUUCGGUAUGUAAAGCUCUAUCAGUAGGGAAGAAAAUGACGGUACCUGACUAAGAAGCCCCGGCUAACUACGUGCCAGCAGCCGCGGUAAUACGUAGGGGGCAAGCGUUAUCCGGAUUUACUGGGUGUAAAGGGAGCGUAGACGGCCAGACAAGUCUGAAGUGAAAAUCCAGCGCUUAACGUUGGAAGUGCUUUGGAAACUGCCGGACUAGAGUGCAGGAGGGGCAGGCGGAAUUCCUGGUGUAGCGGUGAAAUGCGUAGAUAUCAGGAGGAACACCGGUGGCGAAGGCGGCCUGCUGGACUGCAACUGACGUUGAGGCCCGAAAGCGUGGGGAGCAAACAGGAUUAGAUACCCCAGUA